rnacentral:rRNA from 1 species
GAUGAACGCUGGCGGCGUGCCUAAUACAUGCAAGUCGAGCGAAUGGAUUAAGAGCUUGCUCUUAUGAAGUUAGCGGCGGACGGGUGAGUAACACGUGGGUAACCUGCCCAUAAGACUGGGAUAACUCCGGGAAACCGGGGCUAAUACCGGAUAACAUUUUGAACCGCAUGGUUCGGAAUGGAAAGGCGGCUUCGGCUGUCUCUUAUGGAUGGACCCGCGUCGCAUUAGCUAGGUGGUGAGGUAACGGCUCACCAAGGGAACGAUGCGUAGCCGACCUGAGAGGGUGAUCGGCCACACUGGGACUGAGACACGGCCCAGACUCCUACGGGAGGCAGCAGUAGGGAAUCUUCCGCAAUGGACGAAAGUCUGACGGAGCAACGCCGCGUGAGUGAUGAAGGCUUUCGGGUCGUAAAACUCUGUUGUUAGGGAAGAACAAGUGCUAGUUGAAUAAGCUGGCACCUUGACGGUACCUAACCAGAAAGCCACGGCUAACUACGUGCCAGCAGCCGCAGUAA